rnacentral:rRNA from 1 species
CUCCUACGGGAGGCAGCAGUGGGGAAUUUUGGACAAUGGGCGCAAGCCUGAUCCAGCAAUGCCGCGUGAGUGAAGAAGGCCUUCGGGUUGUAAAGCUCUUUCAGUCGGAAAGAAAAAGUCGUGGUUAAUACAUCGUGAUUCAUGACGGUAUCAACAGAAGAAG